rnacentral:rRNA from 1 species
AUGGCGCGGAAGAUGCUCAAGGACGGGGAGGCGCCCGCCAUCGCGGACGGCGGCGAGGAGAGCUACGACUACGACCUCUUUGUCAUCGGCGCCGGCAGCGGUGUCCUCCGCGGCUCCCGCACCGCCGCGGGAUUCGGAGCCAAGGUUGCGAUCUGCGAGCUCCCGUUCCACCCCAUCAACUCGGAUUGGCUGGGAGGACACGGCGGAACGUGCGUGAUACAUGGCUGUCUUUCGAAGAAGAUACUGGUGCAUCAAAGUUAUAGUCUGCACCAUGUUGCUGGAAAAAGUUUCGGGUGCAGGACGCCAAGAAUUUCGGGUGGGAGAUCAAUGGCGACAUCAACUACAACUGGAAAAAGUUGCUGGAAAACAAGCUGGAGCGGAUCGUCGGAAUGUCGUCUGUGCGGAGGCUAA